rnacentral:rRNA from 1 species
GCCUAACACAUGCAAGUCGCACGAGAAAGGGCUUCGGCCCCGGUACAGUGGCGCACGGGUGAGUAACACGUGGGUAACCUGCCCUUGAGCGGGGGAUAACAUUCCGAAAGGAGUGCUAAUACCGCAUAAGACCACGAUCUCGAAAGAGGACGCGGUCAAAGCUGGCCUCUAUAUAUAAGCUAGCACUCGAGGAUGGGCCCGCGGCGCAUCAGGUAGUUGGUGGGGUAAUGGCUCACCAAGCCUAAGACGCGUAGCUGGUCUGAGAGGAUGAUCAGCCACACUGGAACUGAGACACGGUCCAGACUCCUACGGGAGGCAGCAGUGGGGAAUCUUGCGCAAUGGGCGAAAGCCUGACGCAGCGACGCCGCGUGAGUGAUGAAGGCCUUCGGGUUGUAAAGCUCUGUGGGGCGAGACGAAUAAGUGCAGCCUAAUACGUUGCAUGGUGACGGUAUCGCCUUAGCAAGCACCGGCUAACUCUGUGCCAGCAGCCGCGGUAA